rnacentral:lncRNA from 1 species
AUGCCACAGAUCAAAUAUAUUGAAUUACACUGUAAAUGCCAUGGAUAUCAUUUGGAUUACCAUGAGAAAAAGGGAAAGAAGGAAAGUUGAGAGGCUUAUGAACAUUCAAAGAAGUCAAAGAAAAUGAUUGGUCUGAAGGCUAAGCUUUAUCUUAAACAGCACCAUGCUGAGAAAAUACAAAUGAAAAAGACCAUCAAGAUGCAUGAAAAGAGAAACACCAGACAAAAGAAAGACUCCACAGGGAGCAGUACCUGCCUAUCUGCUGGACAGAGAGGGACAACCUCAAGCUAACGUACUUCCCAGUAUGAUUAAGCCGAAAUGAAAAGAGAAAGCAGGAAAAUGGAAAGUCCCUCUGUCUAAAUGUAACUUGCCCAGGGAGAUACAGAAGUGUUAAGAGUUAUCCAACAGGAAAGAGAAAGACGCAGGCAUAGAGGAGGAUGGUUACUAAAGUCUGCUUUGUUGGAGAUGGCUUUACAAGAAAACUACUUAUCUAUGGAAGAUUCAUCAGGCCAAUGGGCUUGCGUUUCAAGAAAGCCCAUGUAACACAUCCUGAACUGAAAGCCACCUUUUGCCUAACAAUACUUGGUGUAAAGAAGAGUCCCUCAUUCCCAAUGUAUAUAACUUUGGAUGUUAUUACCAAAGGUACUGUUACUGAGGUGAAUGUGAGUUGGGCCUUGUGACACAAGGAGGCAAGGUUAUUUGGGGAAAAUAGGCUGUGGUUACCAACAAUCCUGAAAAUGAUGGAUGUAUAAAUGCAGUCUUACUGGUCUGA